AUUAAACGCUGGCGGCAUGCCUUACACAUGCAAGUCGAACGGCAGCACGGGGGCAACCCUGGUGGCGAGUGGCGGACGGGUGAGUAAAGCAUCGGAACGUAUCCUGGAGUGGGGGAUAACGUAGCGAAAGUUACGCUAAUACCGCAUAUUCUGUGAGCAGGAAAGCAGGGGAUCGCAAGACCUUGCGCUCUGGGAGCGGCCGAUGUCGGAUUAGCUAGUUGGUGGGGUAAAGGCCUACCAAGUCGACGAUCCGUAGCGGGUCUGAGAGGAUGAUCCGCCACACUGGGACUGAGACACGGCCCAGACUCCUACGGAGGCAGCAGUGGGGGAAUUUUGGGACAAUGGGCGCAAGCCUGAUCCAGCCAUGCCGCGU
rnacentral:rRNA from 1 species